UUACUCGUGUGUUGCAGAGGCAUGGGGCUGUUAUGGGAGACAGGUUGAAUUUGAUGAAGAAAUAAACUAAGAGAGUUAAACUGUGUGAAGUCUCUAAGGAAUGAGAAGCCAUUGGCCAUCUUAAUUCUGAGAAUAGAGAAAGUGCAUAGAAAUUUUGUUACCUUCUGAAGACCUGGUAGUGUAUGUGGGAGUUGGUCCUGUGUCAGCCAACCUAAUAAAAAAACC